GUUGGGACAAGAGAACGGUCU
rnacentral:miRNA from 1 species